AGGUGAAUUUGAUAGCUAAACUAAGCCAUCCAUAUCUUUUAGAGUACAAAGAUGCUUGGGUGGACAAGGGGAGCUGUAUAUGCAUCGUUGCCGAUUAUUGCGAAGAAGAAAAUAUGGCGGAGGUCAUGAGGAAGUCUAGAGGAGCACUUUUC